rnacentral:rRNA from 1 species
UAGGGAAUCUUCGGCAAUGGGGGCAACCCUGACCGAGCAACGCCGCGUGAGUGAAGAAGGUUUUCGGAUCGUAAAGCUCUGUUGUAAGUUAAGAACGAGUGUGAGAGUGGAAAGUUCACACUGUGACGGUAGCUUACCAGAAAGGGACGGCUAACUACGUGCCAGCAGCCGCGGUAAUACGUAGGUCCCGAGCGUUGUCCGGAUUUAUUGGGCGUAAAGCGAGCGCAGGCGGUUUGAUAAGUCUGAAGUUAAAGGCUGUGGCUCAACCAUAGUUCGCUUUGGAAACUGUCAAACUUGAGUGCAGAAGGGGAGAGUGGAAUUCCAUGUGUAGCGGUGAAAUGCGUAGAUAUAUGGAGGAACACCGGUGGCGAAAGCGGCUCUCUGGUCUGUAACUGACGCUGAGGCUCGAAAGCGUGGGGAGCGAACAGGAUUAGAUACCCUGGUAGUCCACGCCGUAAACGAUGAGUGCUAGGUGUUGGAUCCUUUCCGGGAUUCAGUGCCGCAGCUAACGCAUUAAGCACUCCGCCUGGGGAGUACGACCGCAAGGUUG